rnacentral:rRNA from 1 species
AGAGUUUGAUCAUGGCUCAGGAUGAACGCUAGCUACAGGCUUAGCACAUGCAAGUCGAGGGGAAACGACAUCGAAAGCUUGCUUUUGAUGGGCGUCGACCGGCGCACGGGUGAGUAACGCGUAUCCAACCUGCCCACCACUUGGGGAUAACCUUGCGAAAGUAAGACUAAUACCCAAUGACGUCUCUAGAAGACAUCUGAAAGAGAUUAAAGAUUUAUCGGUGAUGGAUGGGGAUGCGUCUGAUUAGCUUGUUGGCGGGGUAACGGCCACCAAGGCGACGAUCAGUAGGGGUUCUGAGACGGAAGGUCCCCCANAUUGGAACUGAGACACGGUCCAAACUCCGUACGGAGGCA